GUCCCUGUAGCUCAGGGGACAGAGCAGCUGCCUUCUAAGCAGCGGGUCGCAGGUUCGAAUCCUGCCAGGGACG
rnacentral:tRNA from 2 species